AGCCUUGUGCAAUGGCAGUAUUCUAGCCAAUGAGGUCUAUCCGAGGCAUGAUUAUUGCUAACAGAA
rnacentral:snRNA from 1 species